rnacentral:rRNA from 1 species
UACAGAGGUCUCAAGCGUUGUUCGGAUUCAUUGGGCGUAAAGGGUGCGUAGGCGGGCAGGUAAGUCAGUGGUGAAAUCUCCGGGCUUAACCCGGAAACUGCCGUUGAUACUAUCUGUCUUGAAUAUCGUGGAGGUAAGCGGAAUAUGUCAUGUAGCGGUGAAAUGCUUAGAUAUGACAUAGAACACCGAUUGCGAAGGCAGCUUACUACACGAUCAUUGACGCUGAGGCACGAAAGCGUGGGGAGCAAACAGG